UUGUGGAGGAGGACGCCGAAGGUGGGGCUAAUGACUGGGGUGAAGUCGUAACAAGGUAGCCGUACCGGAAGGUGCGGCUGGAUCACCUCCUAACAGGGAGACAACAAAAUGUUUAAUAUUAUUUUGUCACCUUAGGUCGAUCGGUAUCUCACGUUCUUAAUUUAUUAAGAAUUUCAUUUCCUAAGUUUUUCUAGGUCACACCCAUUAUUUUUCCUGGGCCAUUAGCUCAGGUGGUUAGAGCGCACCCCUGAUAAGGGUGAGGUCCCUGGUUCAAGUCCAGGAUGGCCCAUAUCUCUAUGUUGGGGGUAUAGCUCAGUUGGUAGAGCGCCUGCUUUGCAAGCAGGAUGUCAGCGGUUCGAGUCCGCUUACCUCCACUGAUUACCACCUCUUCCAUAACUAUAGAAAGGAAAUGUUUUGAGUUGUGAUCAAAUUCUGAACGAAUCUAGCUUCUUAAUAAUCUUUAUUAGGAUGCUGGACUCAUUGAAUUAUUUUCAUUGUUUUCAGAGAACCUUGACAACUGCAUAGAUUAUUUUUAAAGACAAUAAGCAUCUUUAAUGAUGCAGAUUUAUUAUUUGUGCGAAUGCAUUAAUAACAAUUCUAUUGAGCUGAUGCUUCGAUUUCGAAGUUAUUGGUCAAGCUACAA
rnacentral:misc_RNA from 1 species